AAUCUGGGGCUUGCUCUGGUGGAUUAGUGGCGAACGGGUGAGUAACACGUGAGUAACCUGCCCUUGACUCUGGGAUAAGCGUUGGAAACGACGUCUAAUACCGGAUACGAGCUUCAGCCGCAUGGCUAGGAGUUGGAAAGAAUUUUGGUCAAGGAUGGACUCGCGGCCUAUCAGGUAGUUGGUGAGGUAAUGGCUCACCAAGCCGACGACGGGUAGCCGGCCUGAGAGGGUGACCGGCCACACUGGGACUGAGACACGGCCCAGACUCCUACGGGAGGCAGCAGUGGGGAAUAUUGCACAAUGGGCGAAAGCCUGAUGCAGCAACGCCGCGUGAGGGACGACGGCCUUCGGGUUGUAAACCUCUUUUAGCAGGGAAGAAGCGAUGUGCUUGUCAUGUCAUGACGGUACCUGCAGAAAAAGCACCGGCUAACUACGUGCCAGCAGCCGCGGUAAUACGUAGGGUGCAAGCGUUGUCCGGAAUUAUUGGGCGUAAAGAGCUCGUAGGCGGUUUGUCGCGUCUGCUGUGAAAACGCGAGGCUCAACCUCGCGCCUGCAGUGGGUACGGGCAGACUAGAGUGCGGUAGGGGAGAUUGGAAUUCCUGGUGUAGCGGUGGAAUGCGCAGAUAUCAGGAGGAACACCAAUGGCGAAGGCAGAUCUCUGGGCCGUAACUGACGCUGAGGAGCGAAAGCAUGGGGAGCGAACAGGAUUAGAUACCCUGGUAGUCCAUGCCGUAAACGUUGGGAACUAGAUGUAGGGACCAUUCCACGGUUUCUGUGUCGCAGCUAACGCAUUAAGUUCCCCGCCUGGGGAGUACGGUCGCAAGACUAAAACUCAAAGGAAUUGAC
rnacentral:rRNA from 1 species